UAUUAACGAACUGCACUCUGAAAGAAGAGGAUCAACUUGAUCUCUCAUUUUCAAAAGGAAUAUGAAUAUUCUGGGGUUUCUUCUCAUUUCAUGGCUAUGCAUCACCAUAGGAAUCAGGGCAGAACCUUCAGUGGACCAGUAUGGGUUGAAGGGGGAUUCAAUAUGUCUGGUUGUUGCAGAACCUCCUGAGAUGAUCAACGGAGUUCAGUGGAGGAAGGACAAUGAUGUAAUAUUUGGAGACCAAGAGAUCUCUCCUAAAUACAAGGAGAAGGUGGACUAUAACAAUGAUAACCAUUCUCUGUGUAUUAAGAAUCUAAUGGAAACUGACAGUGGAAUUUACAUGGUAAACUACAGGAAACAUUGGAAACAAUCAACUACUACAUAUAGACUGUUAGUGGAGGAUCAUGUUCCCGAACCAGUCAUGGAUGUCACAUCUCUCUUCAACACAAGUGUGGGUUGCUGUGAUGUCACAGUGAACUGUUCAGUUAAAGAUGGCUGGAUGUUGUCUGUCUGUGACAGCGGUCAGUGUACACUGUCACAACAGUCUCCGUCACUAACCGGUGGUAACAUGACCAUCUCCGUAUUGACUGGAAGGAUCCAAUGCAC